rnacentral:rRNA from 1 species
GACGAACGCUGGCGGCGUGCUUAACACAUGCAAGUCGAGCGGUAAGGCCCUUUCGGGGGUACACGAGCGGCGAACGGGUGAGUAACACGUGGGUGACCUGCCCUCAGCUCUGGGAUAAGCCUGGGAAACCGGGUCUAAUACUGGAUAUGACUCCAUGACGCAUGUUGUGGGGUGGAAAGCCUCGUGCGGCUGAGGAUGGGCCCGCGGCCUAUCAGCUUGUUGGUGGGGUGANGGCCUACCAAGGCGACGACGGGUAGCCGGCCUGAGAGGGCGACCGGCCACACUGGGACUGAGACACGGCCCAGACUCCUACGGGAGCAGCAGUGGGGAAUCUUGCGCAAUGGGCGAAAGCCUGACGCAGCGACGCCGCGUGAGGGAUGACGGCCUGGU